rnacentral:rRNA from 1 species
UACGUAGGGGGCUAGCGUUGUCCGGAUUUAUUGGGCGUAAAGAGCGUGUAGGCGGCCAGGUAGGUCCGGUGUGAAAACUCGAAGCUUAACCUCGAGAUGUCAUCGGAAACCAUCUGGCUAGGGUCCGGAAGAGGAAAGUGGAAUUCCUGGUGUAGCGGUGAAAUGCGCAGAUAUCAGGAAGAACACCAAUGGCGAAAGCAGCUUUCUGGGACGGUACUGACGCUGAGACGCGAAAGCGUGGGGAGCGAACAGG